AUUGAACGGCGGGGGCAUGCCUUACACAUGCAAGUCGAACGGCAGCGCGGACUUCGGUCUGGCGGCGAGUGGCGAACGGGUGAGUAAUGUAUCGGAACGUGCCCUAGAGUGGGGGAUAACGUAGCGAAAGUUACGCUAAUACCGCAUACGAUCUACGGAUGAAAGUGGGGGACCGCAAGGCCUCACGCUCAUGGAGCGGCCGAUAUCUGAUUAGCUAGUUGGUAGGGUAAAAGCCUACCAAGGCGACGAUCAGUAGCUGGUCUGAGAGGACGACCAGCCACACUGGGACUGAGACACGGCCCAGACUCCUACGGGAGGCAGCAGUGGGGAAUUUUGGACAAUGGGGGAAACCCUGAUCCAGCAAUGCCGCGUGUGUGAAGAAGGCCUUCGGGUUGUAAAGCACUUUUGUCAGGAACGAAACGGUGGGGGCUAAUAUCCUCUGCUAAUGACGGUACCUGAAGAAUAAGCACCGGCUAACUACGUGCCAGCAGCCGCGGUAAUACGUAGGGUGCGAGCGUUAAUCGGAAUUACUGGGCGUAAAGCGUGCGCAGGCGGUUGUGCAAGACAGAUGUGAAAUCCCCGGGCUUAACCUGGGAAUUGCAUUUGUGACUGCACGGCUAGAGUGUGUCAGAGGGGGGUAGAAUUCCACGUGUAGCAGUGAAAUGCGUAGAUAUGUGGAGGAAUACCGAUGGCGAAGGCAGCCCCCUGGG
rnacentral:rRNA from 1 species